GGAGAGGAGCGGCGGGAAGUCAAGGUUAUGAUUAAACAACUCCGUAAUGACUCCGUAAUUAUUCAGCAAUUUAUGUGAUUUUGUAAUCUUAAUGAAUAUUGAACCUGAAUGUCAGCCAAAUAAUUGGUUUUUAAGUGACGUCCUAUAAACCGACAACACUGGAUCAUACACAGUGUCGCAACACAUGUCGUUACAUACGCAACAUAUGCACACGGAACGCGCGGUGACGAUACAGAAUGAUAUUAGAAAAUCGUGGGAUAUUAUUUACAAUGUUUGGUACAUUAUAAUAGUCAUACCGCACACGAUGCCGAGGAGAGGACGAGAGAGAGCAGCUCGGAGAGGGGAGAGAGCCCGGACCGGUUGACUUCGCCCUCCACCCGCCCCGAGCUGCACCCCGGGGCUCGGGCAUACUAAACCUUGCGUCUAAUAGCCUAACAUCUGUAUUUACCUGGAGUUCACGGAUUACGGAGCGUCAAAAACCUUUUUAUUGGUCCGCAACCGAAGGACGCCGCGUCACCUCCGCCGCAGCGAAUAUCUGAGCCUUUGUUGGUACGACAACAACUAUUCAAACUGUGAAAGUUGCGACACACUACGUACUCACUGGUUGCAGCAAAAAGUCCUUUUGUUUGAUCUUUAAGUUUAUCUAUAAUUACCUAAUAUUUGUUGGUUACAAUCUUUUUGUAUCAAUAAUCGCUUUUUUAAUUUAUACCUCAAACACAAGUUGAAAAAGAUUUGAGAACCCCCAGUUACUUAUCGCCAUGAUAAUGACGGUAUUACAAUGUAACUUAAUCAAUAGGCAAUCUCUGCAGACCCUGCGGCUGACAGGGAAGUAUAAAAACAAUAGCUCCGUAAUAAAACAUUUAAUUUUUUUAAAUAUUUUCAUCGAACCCUAAUGGACCCAUAUAAAGACCUACAAAUAGAAAGUUUACUUUGUAUCAGACUUAACAUUUUGCUACCAAAUACUACAUACCGAGGGCAGGAAAUUUCCCUAAACUUAGUCAAUCGAAUUUUCCAAGGGCACUUUCUAAUUGCAGAGUAGUGUUUCAGGUUCUGGUCAGUAGCCUAACACAUUCAGGAUUGGAAUGAAAGAACCCUGGCCUGAGUCUAUGACAACCCUGUGUCUAUGAAAGCCUUAGCCUUAAGUGGAUUGGAGAAAACAAGCAAGGGACUCUAAGGCCGAUGAGUUAUUAAACAUAAAUCGUCAGGGGUCAACAUUCUUUAAAGUAUAAAUAUAUGUAACCUAUAUGGAAUGUUAACAUCAUCCAGGUAUGUAAAACAACCAGAACAUUCGAUACCGGUAAAUAUAUUCGAUGUCAGUGACAAUAAGAGAUCUUGCCAAAGAUGCUACUGAUAUUAUGAACGUGACCUAAACUGAAGACUGAAGAAAAUAUAGCUACCGUUUUUGACGAUAUACUUAAAGAAAAUAUAGAAAAUAAUCAGAUGAUGUUAUCACACGGGGCUUGAAUAAUGAAUGGUAAGGAAUACAAUUCCGUACUAUUCAGUUUUCCUCAUUGUUCUCCUUGUGAUUCACCUAACUUCAUUCUGUCCCGGUAUUCCGUCUCCUCGUGUGUCUGAGCUGUGUGUGUCAGCUUGUUUACUAAUCUAGGUUGAUCUUCUCACCGCCCAACCAUCACCAGGUCCAUUACAUACAUAUUCUUGUGUCUUUCCAUAAGACUUGUGUCUCCUUUGUUCACAUCACUCUGUCUCUUCCGUUGAUCCUCGUUUACAUUAAGUGUGACUAUUCAAUACUAAGCUUAUUUUAUUAUUUUUAAUGUUAUGAAAAAGUUUUCAAUUGAUUUUUGAUUAUUAAUUUAUUGUAGGUAUUUAACGAUUCCUAAUCAAAUGUGUUUUGUUAUCAAGUUUUCUGAUUUCAUUUAACAGCCACAUCAAAGCUACGCACAAAAUACGAGUCUGAUAUCUCAAGUCAACAGCCACAAUGACUUCACUGAACUAUCAGCAUUGCGAUGACACAAGAGUUGAGUCUGUAGGUACAGGAUAAUAUUCUCAAAAUUCAGAUUGAAGAUUUGAUGAAUCUAUGGGAACAUAACGUAUAGGUGCCUAAACUUGCAAAAUGGAUUACAUGUCAGAUGAUAGUCAGAUGCCGAGGCGUCCAGCUCAUCGCGAGACGACGUCGGUCCAGGAAUGACGAGAAACAAUGUUUUAGAAAGAAACAGAACUUUAAAACAAUAGUCGCGAUGAGAGAGACCGGACCCGGACCCGGUGGAGGCCAGCACGGUGCGGGUUGUUUUUCUUUACAUUUAAUGAUGACCCGGCGUUGACCGCACGCUAUCACUCAGAGUAUAAAAUGACCAGCUGAUGAAUUAUGGCCAAUAUUUAUAUUUAAAACAUGUAGUAUAUAGUUAUGAGUUAGAUCUCUGGAGUCUGCCCUCUGUUGUCUGCGGGAUAUAAAUAACAAAUUUUGGGCGCCAUAACGUGAUGUUAAUAUGUAAUCUCUGAUAGAAAAGUGACGUCCGAGGAGUUAAGUGUUCGAGUAAAGUCCAUUUAAAUACAAUAAUAAAAUACAGACCUAGAGAAUAGCCGGUUAGACGGAAGUAGAGCUCUUAGUUAGAGAUAUUUGAAAAACCCCGAGGUGUUUUCACGGCGAGUUAAUUGAUCGUUACAUUGCUAACGAGCAAAAACCGCGAACUAGACUAGGAGCGCGUGCCCGGACUCCUCUCCCCGCGGACUGGUCCUGGAGCGGAUUGAUUCAUCACGGGCUUAACACUGUGUCCACAGACUUGUGACACUCUACACGGACUGAGGUUUAACGAGCGACCUUCAUUACCGCCUAUUGAGCGCUAUAGAAAACAUCACUUCGGUAUAUACAGAGAAAGAUAUUUUAUGAAACGCUGCACUAUCGGAACUUACUACUUAUUCCUAUAUUAUUUUUUUAACCAAAUUACCAACUUCUCAAUUACAGUAGUGAACGAUCGUCAUCUCUCAGCGAUGAUAAAAAGCGAUUGAAUCAAAGAAUUCCAUUUAUGUUCAAAUAUCCGGCGAGCUCUGCGCUGAGAUUACUAAUGACGGCGGCGGGAGGAAAAAACUAGCGUCAUCUCCGACACACGGCACGAGGCAGCAAACCGCGCCGGACAUGGAACUACCGACUGUGACCGCGCUAGAAGGAGAAAGACGGAGGUGCAGGAAGGAUGAGGAAAGAGGCUGAUGAAUCCACGAGGGAAGCAGUAAAAAAAUGACGGAGAAAGAAUGUUACUAUCAGCGACAACGGACAGACGACUCUCAUCCUCACAGAGAAGAUACAACUUCACACACAGGAUAUAACUUGUAUUGUAGGGUUAUUAUCACUUGACAUGACUUUGAGAAAUGCUAUAAUUAAUUAAAAUUUUAUAUAUUUAUUGUAAAAGAACUCUUAAGGAAUGGUUCGUGUUUUUUCUAAUAUAUUUUACUGUCUCUCGAGACGAAGUCAUUUAAAAGCAGUACAUUUAAAGAAUGUUAAGUUCGACGCACGCGCGUUGAUGUCUUUUGUACGAGCACUUUACUUCCGCACCGACGUAGCACGAUUGUGGUUGGCAUCACGCUCACGUUACACAUUUACUCGUAAAUACCGCAUGUUAUAAGAAAGUGGUUUCUGCUCCUCAUAUUUAUAUAAAUUAUGUUAAAGUUAUUCAAAUUCUCAGCAUGUCAUCGGGCGAUCAUUCAUAUCAGCGGAGCAGACGCUCGCCUCGAUGUCAUGUAUAGAAAUGACUUGGAGUCGUAGCACUCCACAGUCAAGGAGUCCGUUAGUGUGGAAGUAUUCAACGGUGUGGAGACGAGUGCGCCUGUGUGGGUUAGGGGACGAUAUUUAUGGACGAUUUAGUAAUGGAUCUAGAAAGCAAAUGUGUAUUGAAAAGUGGCGGGAAAUAAGCAAGGGCUACCUGGACUCCGGACCCGCAGCGACAGCCUGGGUGUUCCGGCGGGUGUGAACUGGCAUUCGCUUGUAUAAUGAAUACAGAAAAUGAGAAGAGAACAUUGAGGCCUGCCGAAGGUUUUCAGUAAAGAAAGUUAGUAACUGAACGCGAACAGAGCUCGACUCGGUACAUUGAGUUAGGUUCAGGCUGUCGCGGUCGUACGGUGCUGUAUGUUACGGUGUCCUUCAGGGAGGUCGCACUUACGAUAUCAAAUCCAUUUUUAUAAAAAAAAAACAGCAGUGUUCAUGAACUCGAGACUAUGGGGGAUAAAGUUUUAAAGAAAUUAAUAUCGUCAGAUCCGUCGGAUCGGUCGCUGGACGUUGUGAUGCGUCCCCGUCACCGACUAUCCCCGACCCGAUGCCAGAGAGCAAUACAAGACAUCUGAGCUUCACUUGUCCAAAGAUUUAAAAUCUAAUUCUAAAGCUAUAACUUAAUGAGGCCUGUAAUAAAAUAACUUAAUCUGUGUAAAGCGAACGAGCCGAUGUUUUAAUAUCUGAAUUAUUUUUUGUUUUUGUCCACGACGCUACAUUCCUCACUACAGUAAUGUCUGUCUGAACUCUGAAGUACUUUCCUGGUUUUCUACUGUUUUUAUAAAGUAUUCUUUAAUGCCGCGUGUCGUGAAGGGUAACAUAGUAUACAAAGUCCUAUUGACCUCAGUUAUAUUAUAAUCUAAACUUCAAACAUCUUAGCAGUUACACUCGCGCCAGUUCUUGGAGAUAACGAUAUUAUUAUUUUUUUAAAUAUUAUGAAUCAAAAGGCUCCGCUGUAAUAUGAUUCAUUGAAUUUCUCAUGUUUGUUAGGAAAUUAUACGAAACUUGAAGUGCGCCGCGAAAGGACCGAAUUUACCUACAUAUCUGUAGCCUACCACCUCGCCCCCCCUCCCCCCUCCCCCUUCUUCCGCACGAUCUGACCCCUCUCCUGCCCCGCCCCGCCUGCAGCACUCGUAUCCACCGCUCUCUAAGAGCCUCGCCGUUAGACACCGCAUCGGAAGUUUUGAUCUUUGCAUCGAGUCUACUUAUAACUUCAUGUACUUAUAUGAAUGUUAUCACUGUUCAGUAACCAGAGAGUGUUCUGAAUCCCAACACCCUUUGCCUGUCAAAAGGAGGAGUGAGGAGUUCUGGGCCGUUUGAGGAAGUUAUCGUGUCAACGAGAGCUAUGACGAGAGAUAUCUUCAGAGAAAUCUCAACCGGGAAGGUCUGGUGGUUCAUCCGUGGCCGGGCACGACAAUCAUCGGCGGUUCAGAACGUUUCGAAUCAACUCACUGUUGCAUUAAUAAAAGACAUUUAUCACAAAAUAACGAAUAUUCACAGAGCAUCCCGCGUCCAGCCAGGCGGUGACCGUCGCCCGUUUGGGACAAUCCGAAAGCCUUCACGAUUCGGAUGCGAACGUUAAGAACGAUAGAAGUAGUAGGGCGCCGGUCUCACCUUGCAGUUUCUUCUCGGUCUCCCAGAACUUUUGCAGCUCGGUGAAGUACUUGUCGAGGAUGAACACCUUGGACAGGCCGAGCGUGGCCAUGGCGGGCGGCGCGCUCGCAUCACACUUCGCGGCCGCGCCGCACUCUGCCGACAGCGGCGACCACUCUCGUGCGCGUCUCCCCGCGUACUGCUGUCCGCCCCCGCCGCCGCCCCCGGCCCCGCGGCUCGGGUCCGCAGCCCCGAGCCGGAGCGCCUCUUACCUGCUCGCCUGCACGCGGAUUCCUGAACACGCUCCUCAGUGAUAGCGGCGAGUCUUUACGAUUAAUUCAGAAAGUUCCACGGACACGACGUGUUGGAACAACUAUGAAAACUGUCAGACGCACCGUAUGUUCGAGGCGAACAGUUGAAGAACACACUUGUUAAAAUUUUACAUAAUUCUGUUUAAACGCUCGAUGAGUGCGAUGUAGUCGUAACGAAUCAUACAGUUAAGGCGGAAUCGAUGGGACCGGAGCAUCGAAAAGUUAAUUUAAUACUAUAAAGCGAGAAAUGUAGCGGCGCAGGUGAGGCGGAGGCUGCGGCGGCGCAGGUAUUGGUGGGGAGAGGUGCGGGCGAAGCGGGGAGACUGGUUUGUUUAUUUGUAAGCUCGAGCGCCGAAAGCUAUGACUGUUCCCUUCUCUGCCCCCCUCCCCCCUCCUACCCCGACCCUCCUUCUAAUCCCAGCUCCUCGACGGUGCACCUGUUCCCAACUCUCUCACUACUCAGUUGGAUUCUCUUGCCGUUGUCAAAACUUUCAGUGAACUCAGUCCUUUGAGUGAACUCAUAUUUUCAAUGUUAACGGAUUUUCAUUCUAUCGAUAUCUUUGUGUAAAAAAAUAAAACAUAAUGACGUCACACCAUAAAAAAUAACGAACAACGUCGAAGAUAACAUUCCGGAGAAUAUUUUUUAUUAAUUAACAACGUACGUUACGUUACGUUAUAAAAUUACAAUUAAAAAAAAACAAUCUCUUUGUACUCAUCGGAGAGCAGGUUUAUUUGAAAUGUAAACACAUCAGACAGGUUUUCAUUAUGAAGAAUAACCGACAGUUUAAGGUUUUAUAAAUAUAUAAGGUUGUGAGCACCAGCCGAGCCGCGGCCGCCGAACUACCAGUCUACACCUACCGAAGGUUGUAGCGACUAACAACACCAUAUGGACUCCCAUAUUAACUGUUUCUGAACAAACCAAUGACAUGUAUGUUUUUAAUUUGAUUGUAUUUUGACCACGGGUAAAAUUCAUCACAUGUUACUUUUAGCAUUAAAAGAAAGUAAAACAUUUUUUACAAUUAUUAUUUGAUUUAAAUCUAAUUCACAUUGUCAUCAUCAUGGGACUGAAAUGUCUAUUAUAUUUUAAUGAAAAUGAGAUAAAAAAUAAUAGUUAAAUUUAUGACUUAUGCGCGCGAUUCACAACAAUAUGGCGAGAGACCUGUGGUGCCCUCUGUCGUAGUCACGUCGACACGGGAAGAUGACACAUCCUCCACGAGCACUGUCUGCUCAUCGGAUACGAACAAACACCUCCAGAGGCCGCUGUUACAACUUCAUUUAUAAUGUUCCAGGGACUAGCGUUUAAGUAAUCAUCAAGACCACAAAAGGCAGACAAAAACCGAAUUUAUAUUAGAAAAAUUAAUGAUUACUGUGAAAACGAUAAAAAAAAUUACUUUGGAACAUCGUUUAGAGUAUAAAAAUGAAAUUCUUGCCACAACUCUCCACGGAGCCCGGACGAAUUUAAUAAAUAUGAGCAAUCUUUAUUAUUAAUUGCUAUUCAAUAAGCAAAAAUUCGGAUUGCUUUUUUAAGACUGUAUCACCUCCCAUUAAUAUGUGACGGGGUAGGUUAAUGGUGCCAAGUUUUUGCCACAUUUCAACAUCAAUUACUCGCCUAACGACUCAUUGAGGAUACGAUCCCAGCAACACAUAUCACCAUUUAUAGAUUAAUGACGACACAAUGAGCCGCCGAGUCCUGCCUCCUAUCAGCUGAGACGGAACACAACCUCGCGCUCCGACCUGCUUCGUACCGAUAUUAAGUUAUCACCGCGACUCCGUUAAUGAUAGCUUAAUGUGAGACUGCAGCCGAUCCUCUUCGCCCAUUACCGCAUUAAAAUAACAUAACAUCAGAGAGCUUCGCUUUUAAUAUACUUCUGCAAAAUAAACAAAUAAAAUGUCCCAGGAGCCCGAACCGUCUUAAUGAUGUUUAAUGAAUCAAUUUCUCGAGAUAAACCUGUACUACAUCGGUUACUGAGAAAAACGCGUCGAUGUGGGAAGAGCUCGGCUGUGUUUUGAACUCCAAUAAAAAUGUUACUGUACUUCAGAUAAAUCAUUAUUAAUUUUUAAUGGACCGUCACAUAUCCGUUUUCAUUAAUUUUAAUUUGAAUGUAGUUGAAGUUACAAAGGCCCAGCUCCCUGGGGCUGUGACUACUGUCUGCGUCACAUGGCGUAUUUCAAUUGAAUUUGGGAGUCGAUUUAUAUUUUCGUCGAGGUUUCCUUCAUGAAGUUUUAAUUAAAUAUUUAUAUAAAUACAUGUUGCGUACAAUAAGACAAGGUCCAUCACAACCACUGCCUUCGUAUCGCUUAAUAUUGAAACUUUUACUAUUUGUAUCAUUUAUUUGGGAUCUCUUUUUAAAAUUAAACAGUUCUUCAAAGUAAAGCUUUUAUACCGCGUCCAAUACCGGAAACCGUCGUGUUUGAAAGUCUAGCUAUAGAUGGGUUCUUGUCAAUUGUCAUGUAAAGUCUUAGCAACCGAGAAAUAUAAAACCUUUGCAUUUCCACCAAUCACUAAUAGCUAUUAUCAGAACAUCGUAUGAUUUGUUUAACUACACCAAGGAUUUAAACUGGACCUGGACUUAUUAUUUUAGAUGUUGUGUACCUAGAAGUUGUCGAAGUGCGGUUUAUUGCUCAUUAUUACUGCUUCGAAUGUUAGACACAUUUCUAUUUUAUUGCACUUUACAACUAUAACUUACCUCGUUGCUUUCUCGCCUUCCCUCGCGUUCUAUCCCGUGUUUUAGUCUUGGAGCGCAUCAACUCCGAUGAUGACACUCGUUUCUCGUCCAGCGGUACCGAAGACCUGCGGUAACAUUCGGCAGAUUGUUUGAAGUGAGCGGUCGGGGGUGCAGAUAGAGUAAUAUAUAUUUGAUGAGUUGUAUAGGUUGGAGCACCUGUUGCCGUUGUUGCCGUGAACGUGUCCAGAGCGAUAUGUGCAAAAGAAUUCUGGACGAACGCGAUGUGCUCGCAGAAGAGCGGCGAGUGGUGCCAGUGGUGCCAGUGAUGCCAGUGGUGCCAGUGGUGUAGGUGGUUGAGUCGGUGGCAGCGGGGACGGGUCCGAGCCUGCGCCCUCGUACGUCUGGUCGGGCAGCAACAUGGCGCACGCAUGGCGCUCCGCCCGCGCCGCCCUGCUGCCGCCGAACGACCGCUCGUGACUCCUUCAAUGUCUCACUACGUUACAAGUGUCUUUCCUAGUUCAUAAUGGUUCUUUACCCUGUUUCAUAAAUAUUUCUUUCCACUCAAA